GUUCUUCUUUUCUUCCUCUCCUUCUCUCUCUAGAUCACUUUCUUUCUCUCUCUCUCUCUAACUCUUGAAAGGUGGAAAAAUGGAAGUGUAGAGAAAAUAGGAGGAAGGACCCUUAUUUAUAGAAAAUGGGAGCCGUUGGAUUUAUGCCAAGUGGCAAAAUCCAGUAAAGAGAGAGAGAGUAAAAAGAUGCUUGGCACAAAAACAGAAGAGAAAGACCUCCUCCAUCGGCGGUGGCACCAUAAGCGACAGCACACAGCCCGAGGUGGGCUGCGGCACGCUGUCCGAGGUGGUAGUGGCCUCAUCCGCCCAGCACACGCGCUGCAACCUAGCUGUAAGCGCCGGGCUACCCUGCCGCAUGUAGGGCUGGCCUGAACGCAGAACCCAGGCGUGCAGGCCUGCUGCACGAACUACCUAUCUGCGCAUGAUGUGACGCGCACGGACAGGUUCCACUUUCGCACAACAAGACGUGCGUACUGUGUGCAUGUCCUGAGCCUGUCGCACACGCACGCGCAGGCUCCCACGCAGGCAGCCCAUUCCCGUGGGAUUUUUCACGUG
rnacentral:lncRNA from 1 species